GGUUAAGCGACUAAGCGUACACGGUGGAUGCCCUGGCAGUCAGAGGCGAUGAAGGACGUGCUAAUCUGCGAUAAGCGUCGGUAAGGUGAUAUGAACCGUUAUAACCGGCGAUUUCCGAAUGGGGAAACCCAGUGUGUUUCGACACACUAUCAUUAACUGAAUCCAUAGGUUAAUGAGGCGAACCGGGGGAACUGAAACAUCUAAGUACCCCGAGGAAAAGAAAUCAACCGAGAUUCCCCCAGUAGCGGCGAGCGAACGGGGAGGAGCCCAGAGCCUGAAUCAGUGUGUGUGUUAGUGGAAGCGUCUGGAAAGGCGCGCGAUACAGGGUGACAGCCCCGUACACAAAAAUGCACAUACUGUGAGCUCGAUGAGUAGGGCGGGACACGUGGUAUCCUGUCUGAAUAUGGGGGGACCAUCCUCCAAGGCUAAAUACUCCUGACUGACCGAUAGUGAACCAGUACCGUGAGGGAAAGGCGAAAAGAACCCCGGCGAGGGGAGUGAAAAAGAACCUGAAACCGUGUACGUACAAGCAGUGGGAGCCUCUUUUAUGGGGUGACUGCGUACCUUUUGUAUAAUGGGUCAGCGACUUAUAUUCUGUAGCAAGGUUAACCGAAUAGGGGAGCCGAAGGGAAACCGAGUCUUAACUGGGCGUUAAGUUGCAGGGUAUAGACCCGAAACCCGGUGAUCUAGCCAUGGGCAGGUUGAAGGUUGGGUAACACUAACUGGAGGACCGAACCGACUAAUGUUGAAAAAUUAGCGGAUGACUUGUGGCUGGGGGUGAAAGGCCAAUCAAACCGGGAGAUAGCUGGUUCUCCCCGAAAGCUAUUUAGGUAGCGCCUCGUGAAUUCAUCUCCGGGGGUAGAGCACUGUUUCGGCAAGGGGGUCAUCCCGACUUACCAACCCGAUGCAAACUGCGAAUACCGGAGAAUGUUAUCACGGGAGACACACGGCGGGUGCUAACGUCCGUCGUGAAGAGGGAAACAACCCAGACCGCCAGCUAAGGUCCCAAAGUCAUGGUUAAGUGGGAAACGAUGUGGGAAGGCCCAGACAGCCAGGAUGUUGGCUUAGAAGCAGCCAUCAUUUAAAGAAAGCGUAAUAGCUCACUGGUCGAGUCGGCCUGCGCGGAAGAUGUAACGGGGCUAAACCAUG
rnacentral:rRNA from 1 species